AACUGAUUGUGUGAACCAUGUCAUUCAACUCACUUGCUGCAUUUUUGUUAAAGGUCACUUGAGGUUUUCAGAUAUUAUAUUGCGAAGGCUGUUUAAUAAUGCUAGAAUGCUUAGCGUUUCUACAGUUUUUAAUUUAUUUGGUAAAUUCAUUGACGACUGCAA